AACUUUCAACAACGGAUCUCUUGGUUCUCCCAUCGAUGAAGAACGCAGCGAAAUGCGAUAAGUAGUGUGAAUUGCAGAAUUCAGUGAAUCAUCGAAUCUUUGAACGCA
rnacentral:rRNA from 1 species